rnacentral:tRNA from 1 species
CGGAGUGUGGCGCAGCUUGGUAGCGCGCCUGCCUUGGGAGCAGGAGGUCCAGAGUUCAAAUCUCUGCACUCCGACCA